AAGCAGAAGCUAGCAGUAUAGAAAUGUCUUAUGUGUGGGGCAAUUUUUCCUGUGUGAACUCUACUUUCUUUCCAAAGCAUUGCUAUAAGGAUGGAGUUUGAGGUUUUUAAAAAGUGGCUUCAGAUACAACACAGUCAUUUCCAGGAGGCCUCGGGGCAGGCGGUCCUGGGCCCUCCCCAGGCGGUGGAAUCCUGCGCAAGUCUCUUUAUCGUGAACGAUUUCGCACAUCCUUUGCUCCCGGCAUUACAGUAUUAGCUUCCCUUCUCAUUUACCUCUGUAAACAAGCCGAGCUUCGUGAUUAUUAUAUAGGAUGAGUAUCUAAGCAGAAGUGUUUCUGGUUUUAGGGGAUUUGGUCUGCGAGAGUGUGACAAAUGACUUCUGGAGAAUUGUCCCAGUUUCCUCGCCUAUGUGUAGUUUUUCUUUGACUAACUUCUUUUUCUAAUGCUUUUUGAUAAUCAUCAUCUCAGAUAUUCACUGAUAUUUCACAGUCUUCCCCUCAGCACCUAGUUAGUGCUCAAGAAAUACCUGCUGAAUGAAUUUCCCAUCACGGGAUGAGACCCUGCAACGUCGGUUCCCGUAUACAAACAGUCAGUUUGGGAGGUCAGGCCUACAGGAUGGGAGUGGGGAGAACCCGCGUCAUCUUCUCGCCAGGAGGGCAGAGGCCCCGAGGGUAUUUGAAAGUCUUCUAGCUCCUGCUCCAAGCAAGGCCUGACGUUCAAGUAGUUUAUGGUAUCACUAGUGAUAAUAACAUUAACUUCUCCUCAGUGAUUUCCUCCUUCCUGGUAAUGAGUCCUCGGAGGAGUCCUGCCCGUGAGGUUUUGUGUCUCCGUUUUCCUUUUGACAAAAGGAGUCUCGGCAAAGUGGAGAAGCGGCAUCACAGAGCUGGAUCUGCACCGGGCGGCUGCUCCUCCAAGCUCGUCCUCUGAGCGGCCUCCCAGCGCAGACUUCCCCAGUCGGUCUGGAUCGCCAGCCUGUGCGCUUGGCUUGAGAAACGGAUCUGUAGAACGUUACUGUUACUGUUUCUUCCAGUGCUACAUCUAAAGUUCUGAAUGGCUUGUCCUGAGCAGACUGAGGUUUCGAUGUAGCUUUAUUAUAACCCAUGGCCACCUCGGGGCGUCUUUAAGGUGCUCCGUCCUCGCCUGCUUACUCGCUUGCUGUUCUUGAAGCCGCACUCAGUGCUCUUGCCCAGCCUGCAGAGCCCCGAAGGAAGCCCACAAAGGACUGAGACUCAACACCCCACCCGGGUCCUUGGCUGCCUCGGAGCAUCCUGUGGGAUGAGAUCCGGACCUGGGGCGAGAGCGGGACGUGCAGCUCAUGUCCAAAGCAGGCGGCGCGGUGUGAGCAUCCGGCUGCACGUUCGUUCCCUAAGCGUGCAGCGCGGCCCGGCGAGUACCCAGGCUGUGCUCUCCUGGCGAGGGGUCCUGCCCGAGUC
rnacentral:lncRNA from 1 species